UACGAAGGUGGCAAGCGUUGUUCGGAUUUACUGGGCGUACAGGGCGCGUAGGCGGUUGGAUAAGCCCUCCGUGAAAUCUCCAGGCUUAACCUGGAAAGUGCAGAGGGGACUGUUCAGCUAGAGGAUGGGAGAGGAGCGCGGAAUUCCCGGUGUAGCGGUGAAAUGCGUAGAUAUCCGGAGGAACACCAGUGGCGAAGGCGGCUUUCUGGACCGACACUGACGCUGAGGCGCGAAAGCUAGGGGAGCAAACGGG
rnacentral:rRNA from 1 species